rnacentral:sRNA from 2 species
CUCUCCCCUUAUUUGCAGAGGACACUUGCAUCUUGUCAAUACGCACUCCACUUUAAACCCUAUCGGCAGCUUCGCUCUGAUAUCCCUUCAUUCCUGUCCGCGGAUGAAACCACGAUUACUUACUCCACUCCAUUCCUUGUUCUACUUUAAACAGGCUCCCACCACCAUAACUACAACCCCCCCAAAGCUUUUUGCCCUUAUGUUUAUAUUUUAAAGUACACCGACAUUCCCAACAACCCUACAAUGUCGCAAGGUACCAAAGCCAUGGACCCUGUUCCGAACUCUAAUCCAAAUGCAAAAAAUACAACUCCAUCCCUCUUCUCUCCCGCUUCUCUCCUCUGGGCACACCAACUCCGACGCGAACACAACACCCUCGUCUCCCGCCUCGACGCGCUCGAAGAGACUCUGGCAUCCUCUUCUGCUAAGGCAAUCACAACGACGGAAGAAUUGAAGUCGGAUCUCGAGACGAGGGUGAAGGAGGUUGGUGAUGUACUUGGUGUGACUCAGGGCGAGGUUGAGAUGAUUAAAGGGGGUAUUGAAGAGUUGAACGGGUGGAAGGAAGUUUUUGAACAGAGUCAGAG